rnacentral:pre_miRNA from 1 species
UUUAAGUAUAAUUAUGAGUUUUUUGUUCAACGUUUCACCAUCCGUCUUAUUUGAUUUUUUAUGAUUAGUAUUUUUAUUGUUUGUGUGACUUAUUAUUUUUAAUUUUUUCGUAAGUUUUCCAAAUAAAACGAAAGGUUAAACGUUGAACACAAAAACCCUCACAACUAUACUUAAA